GCACCUGAAAUCAUUUUGCUUUUUGUAGUGUUCAUCA
rnacentral:sRNA from 1 species